rnacentral:tRNA from 1 species
GCCCGAGUGAUGGAAUUGGCAGACGUGCGGGACUCAAAAUCCCGUGGUAGCAAUACCGUGUCGGUUCGAAUCCGACCUUGGGCACCA